UCCUACGGGAGGCAGCAGUGAGGAAUAUUGGUCAAUGGGCGGGAGCCUGAACCAGCCAAGUCGCGUGAGGGAAGACGGCCCUAUGGGUUGUAAACCUCUUUUGCCGGGGAGCAAAGAACCGCACGUGUGCGGUCUGGAGAGUACCCGG
rnacentral:rRNA from 1 species